rnacentral:rRNA from 1 species
AUGAACGCUAGCUACAGGCUUAACACAUGCAAGUCGAGGGGCAGCAUGAACUUAGCUUGCUAAGUUUGAUGGCGACCGGCGCACGGGUGAGUAACACGUAUCCAACCUGCCGAUGACUCGGGGAUAGCCUUUCGAAAGAAAGAUUAAUACCCGAUGGCAUAGUUCUUCCGCAUGGUAGAACUAUUAAAGAAUUUCGGUCAUCGAUGGGGAUGCGUUCCAUUAGGUUGUUGGCGGGGUAACGGCCCACCAAGCCUUCGAUGGAUAGGGGUUCUGAGAGGAAGGUCCCCCACAUUGGAACUGAGACACGGUCCAAACUCCUACGGGAGGCAGCAGUGAGGAAUAUUGGUCAAUGGACGAGAGUCUGAACCAGCCAAGUAGCGUGAAGGAUGACUGCCCUAUGGGUUGUAAACUUCUUUUAUACGGGAAUAAAGUGAGGCACGUGUGCCUUUUUGUAUGUACCGUAUGAAUAAGGAUCGGCUAACUCCGUGCCAGCAGCCGCGGUAAUACGGAGGAUCCGAGCGUUAUCCGGAUUUAUUGGGUUUAAAGGGAGCGUAGGCGGACGCUUAAGUCAGUUGUGAAAGUUUGCGGCUCAACCGUAAAAUUGCAGUUGAUACUGGGUGUCUUGAGUACAGUAGAGGCAGGCGGAAUUCGUGGUGUAGCGGUGAAAUGCUUAGAUAUCACGAAGAACUCCGAUUGCGAAGGCAGCCUGCUGGACUGUAACUGACGCUGAUGCUCGAAAGUGUGGGUAUCAAACAGGAUUAGAUACCCUGGUAGUCCACACAGUAAACGAUGAAUACUCGCUGUUUGCGAUAUACAGUAAGCGGCCAAGCGAAAGCGUUAAGUAUUCCACCUGGGGAGUACGCCGGCAACGGUGAAACUCAAAGGAAUUGACGGGGGCCCGCACAAGCGGUGGAGCAUGUGGUUUAAUUCGAAGCAACGCGAAGAACCUUACCAGGUCUUGACAUCCCGAUGCUAUUUCUAGAGAUAGAAAGUUACUUCGGUACAUCGGUGACAGGUGGUGCAUGGUUGUCGUCAGCUCGUGUCGUGAGAUGUUGGGUUAAGUCCCGCAACGAGCGCAACCCUUAUCUUUAGUAGCCAGCGGUUAAGCCGGGCACUCUAGAGAGACUGCCAGGGAUAACCUGGAGGAAGGUGGGGAUGACGUCAAAUCAGCACGGCCCUUACGUCCGGGGCUACACACGUGUUACAAUGGGGGGUACAGAAGGCAGCUACACGGCGACGUGAUGCUAAUCCCGAAAGCCUCUCUCAGUUCGGAUUGGAGUCUGCAACCCGACUCCAUGAAGCUGGAUUCGCUAGUAAUCGCGCAUCAGCCACGGCGCGGUGAAUACGUUCCCGGGCCUUGUACACACCGCCCGUCACACCAUGGGAGUUGGUAACGCCCGAAGUCAGUGACCUAACCGUAAGGAAGGAGCUGCCGAAGGCGGGACUGAUAACUGGGGUG